GGAUGUGAAGGUGAUCUGGCUGUGACAUCUGUCAUCCCAUUGAUCACUAGGGUUGAGUUGUCUGGCUAGGCAGGUGUCCCCUUCCUCCCUCACCACACCACGUACAUCCCUUCCAAAGCUGUGGACUCAGUCUUCUCUAAAAGGAGACAGACUAGUCUUCAGUUGAGGGUAUAUGAGUAGCAUCACUCCCCUGCUAGAACCUCCAAAAAAGCUCUCAAGAAAAGAACAAAGUGGCAGAUUCAUUGUGCAGACAAGUCCCAUAUCCCUGGUGGCAAAAAUAAAUAG
ensembl:misc_RNA 7SK 7SK RNA